CAGUUAUAUAGAUUUAUCUGUAAUAAAUAUUUUUUUUAGAAAUAUGUAGCACGCUACCCGCUUCGUUUAUUUCUUAUAUUUUUUUUAGAAAUAAAUUUAGCUGAAAAUGUGAAUCAAUUAGAAUUCGAACUUGGGAUCUCGGGUACUAACUACCAAGUUUUUUACCACUUGGUCUAGGGAUGGUCAGUGUAGUAAAUGUUG
rnacentral:lncRNA from 1 species